CCUACGGGGUGCAGCAGUGAGGAAUAUUGGUCAAUGGGCGAGAGCCUGAACCAGCCAAGUCGCGUGAAUGAUGAAGGAUCUAUGGUUGGUAAACUUCUUUUAUAUGGUAAUAAAGUGAGAAACGUGUUCCUUUUUGUAUGUACCAUAUGAAUAAGCAUCGGCUCACUCCGUGCCAGCAGCCGCGGUAAUACGGAGGAUGCGAGCGUUAUACGGAUUUAUUGGGUUUAAAGGGAGCGGAGGUGGUUAAUUAAGUCAGCGGUGAAAGUUAGUGGCUCAACCAGAGAAGUGCCGUUGAAACUGGUUGACUUGAGUAUAUUUGAGGUAGGCGGAAUGCGUGGUGUAGCGGUGAAAUGCAUAGAUAUCACGCAGAAUUCCGAUUGCGAAGGCAGCUUACUAAACUAUAACUGACACUGAAGCACGAAAGCGUGGGGAGCAAACAGGAUUAGAUACCCGGGUAGUC
rnacentral:rRNA from 1 species